rnacentral:rRNA from 1 species
UACGUAGGGUGCAAGCGUUAUCCGGAAUUAUUGGGCGUAAAGAGCUCGUAGGCGGUCUGUCGCGUCUGCUGUGAAAACUGGAGGCUCAACCUCCAGCCUGCAGUGGGUACGGGCAGACUAGAGUGCGGUAGGGGAGAUUGGAAUUCCUGGUGUAGCGGUGGAAUGCGCAGAUAUCAGGAGGAACACCGAUGGCGAAGGCAGAUCUCUGGGCCGUAACUGACGCUGAGGAGCGAAAGCGUGGGGAGCGAACAGG